rnacentral:rRNA from 16 species
GGAAGGUGCACUUGGAUAAAC